rnacentral:lncRNA from 1 species
UAGGAAUAUCCAAAAAAAUCAUCCUAAGAUACUAUCGGAAUCCUCUGCCUGCAAGCACGAUCGUGGAGGAGGUUGAUAAAAAGUCUUUCAGUAUCCAAAAAAAUAAUCAAAAAGAAAAUGAAUUGAAGAGAAUAUGUCAGAAGGAAGAGAAGGAGAGGUUUGGAUGGGAUGUCUAAAAUCAGAUCUCAGGAUGAUUUUUUUAUAGCCAUCCAUAGUGACC